CACAGGAGCCCUUACAGCGGCGCAGCUGUGCCACUGUACGGUCCGGAGUGUAGACAUAACCUACACAGGGUCAAACGGAGCUUGGAGUCAGUGUGUGCAACUUCCCUUGUGAUGCAGACUUCAUGUUGGGCGUAAUUUGGCCAGAAAACUGAUGCACAGUCCGGGAAGUUAUACUGAUUUGGUGUUCGGUGAUUGUGCAAAGCGAGUGAGAUGUGCACACCAUGCAGUGCAGAAAGGAGGUUAAGGAACAAGAAAAGCAACUACCCAGAGCGGAAGUAAGUGGAGACAAGGACUAAAACGACAAGGAGGACACAGACUGUCCCGGCAGCAGCAGACACAGCAACCUGGUGGCGAUCUGGGAAAAUAAAACCUAGAGGCACAAGCUGCACUUCAGGGGUUGGCAGAGACCAUUCUGCAGUGCAUAAAUAACUGACUGUUCCACCCAGGCUGCGAGUGGGCACUGACCCGCCAGUGCCCGUUGCAGUGAACGAGUCUGUGACAUUCCCCUGCCGUGUGGAGGGGUUUUAUCCGAAGGACGUGAGUCUCACCAGGCUGGAGAACAGAAACGAGACGGGUUAGGAAAGUACUCCCCCAUGGCUGAGAAUCCAGACGGGAUGUACACGCUCCAGAGCUCCCUGGAGAUGAACUCAACUGAGCAGAGGAAUCCGUCCGCGUUCACCUGUCGGAUUGUGCACAAUUCCCAGCCUCCCAUCAGGCAAGUGAGACGCUGAGGAUCUCCGAGCCGCCUGCAGCACCUGGUGGAGGGUUAGAUUUGUCCCAGGCAGGCAAAGGGGCAGUUCUAGGAACCCCCUUGUCUGUGUAAAGGAGAGAGACCACUGGACAGAUCCCAGUCACGCCUCAGACGCAUGAGCAGAAGCUCCCCAGGGGACUCCUGGCCGCUUGCUGAUCACGUAGAUUUCUACUGCAGGUCACUGUCUGUUUUCCAGCUGCGCCUUCUGGAUCGGGCUCUUCCUGGAAAAGGUGCUGACUGCCGCCUUCCUCCUCUUCCUCUUCCUGAGAGGAAGCGGGUCACGUAUGCCGUGUAGCUGAUCCCACGAGGAGUCCUUGUGGCACUUUGGAGACAAACCUCUGUAUUUGGGCAUAAGCUUUCGUGGGCUAGAACCCACUUCAUCGGAUGCGUGGAGUGGAACAUACAGGAGCAGCCCCACUUCUGUUUCCUGGUUUCCUUGCACCCUUCACUGCCUGCCAACUUCGCCGUCUGCACCUCCGUCCGUCCCCGCAGUCUGGGAAAUGAGUUCAUCGAUGGAGCUGCAGUGACCCCCGCUGGCCAGGCCAAUGGAGCCCAGGCCUCUGAUGAGCUGCACCUGCCAAACUCACCCUCUACUGAUGGAGCAGCCGACAGGGAAUUCCUGACCUGGCUCCCUGCCCCCUUCACCCUGUCUCUCUGUGCUGUCUGCAUUGACCUUCACUUCGGGGAGAAGAGCUGAAAUAUGGGGUACAACGCACAUGAUUCUGGUGGAACACACAAUGUGUCUAUGAGACCCAAUGGCCCUGGAGCAGUCCCCCUGAGUCCUGUGGGUUCGACCCUGAGGGUCAAACUCUUGCUCCUGGGGCUGGCAGGAGCUGGGUGUUUUGAAGAUGUGACGCCAUGACUUGCAGGAGAGAACUGGUCGAGUGGGUCUGCCCUGGCCCAGUGAUGGAGCAGCCUGAUCAAACCCUAUUAUCCCUGCAGGAGGCCUCUGGGCCUGACUCUGAGAUGGGAGGGAUGAGAAGACACGGUGGUAAAUGGAAGCCGAAGUAAGGUGAAAAUGAAGCAAUUCGCUGAACUCCCAUUCCCCCUGUUAAGCACCCGCCUUCUGCUCUGGGCAAGGUUGGAUCCUGUAGCUGACCCUGCUGGUCUGUGCUCCGGGACACGGAGGUGAUGGGAGCAGGGAGCCCAGAUCAUCUGUAGAGCUGGCUUGUGCCUUUCUGUGAUUCUGGACUCCGGCUGGAGCCUCCUGCCUCUGCUUGGCUGUGAAGAGGCAGGAGAAAUUUGUGUAAUAAUUUCUGGCAGUGCUUGAACUCACCCCUGACUGCAGAGCUGGGGUGGGGAGACGGGAAAUGUCACGGAGCAAUUCCCUAACAUUUGUAGCUGUUUUAAAGUCCCAUGUCUGAGGCGGGCCUGGGGGGCAGAGCCCCCCUCCACACACUGUGCAGGAGCUUCUUUUACCCCACCUGAGAGAACUGUCUGUGAGUGAAUAGAUAAUAUAGCGAUUCAUCUGUUCUUACCAUUUCUCAUUGCUUGUGUUAUUUAUAAAGUGGCUACGCGGUUAUAGUCUGCCUGGGAAACCUGUCUCUGUAUCCAGAAGAGCCUGGAGACUUAAGGUUGGGGCGCACGGUUUAUCUGGACACUAGGACGGUUCAUGGUGUAUUCACACCCUUUGUGCUGGCUGGUCCUGUUUUGAAUUUCAGACUUUGCCGAGUCCCUUUGGAGUUCUCUGGCUAGCCACCCUUAUCGGUCCUUGUAAAACCAAGUGACACGCCCAGGGUCAGAUCUCCUGGGUCGGUCUCUCAGGUACUGAGUGUAUAGUCCGCAGGGACCAGGGGCCUUGACACAAGCAGGGGAAGCUGAGCACCACCCAGCUUGUUCAUGUGCCAAACUGGGGGAACUCCAUGUCCAGAGGGUGUGGGCGAUAAAUGGGCCUGUGCAAUUUCUGGAGAUAAGUUGAAGCCACCGAAAAGCCGGGCCCAAGGUGUUUACUGCCAGCAGAUGCUGCCCUGGGACUGCUUUGGGUUGGGCAUUGUAGUCCACCGACCCACGCGCAUCUUCUGUCCCUACGGCCCAGGUGAGCUGACAUUUUCCAGAGACCCACAACGUACAACACAACCUGCCUCCCUUUUGUGGCUCCCAGGGGCAGCUGUUGGCAGAGGGAGGCACGGCAGUGGGGGGCCAGUGGAGUCACCCCAGCAGGGAGCUGGAGAGAGCUGCGGAGGGCCCCAGAGCUGGUGCAGCCGUACAGAGCUUUC